rnacentral:rRNA from 1 species
CUGGUAAAGGCGAAGGCAACCUUUUAUGUAAAAACUGUCGUUGAGGGACGAAGGCUCAAGGAGAAAAAAGAGGAUUAGAUACCCUUGUAUAGUGGGCAGACAAUGAUGAGUGUCAUAUGUAAGAUUUGUGUAUAAAUGAAAGUGUAAGCACUCCACCUCAAGAGUAACGUGGCAACAUGGGAACUGAAAUCAUUAGGCCGUUUCUGAAACCCGUAGUGAAGUAUGUUGUUUAAUUUGUAGGUACGCAAAGAACCUUACCACAAUUUGUAUAGCUUGUACAAGCGUUGCACGGCUGUUUUUAGUCAAUGUUGUGAAACUUUGGUUAGGUCCAUUAAAUUGAUGUAAGCCCUUNCUUUAUUUAUUAAAAAGUAGUUCGCUGCUGUAUGGGUAGCGAUAUAAGGGACUAAG